GGGAAGGGGAUGUUCGGGCUGAAAGUGAAGAAGAGGAAGAAGACAGUCACCACGUCUGAUCUCGUCUUGGCCAAUAAAGCAGCUCUAGAUGGUACAGAGCCAGAGGGUAAUGCUGAGGUCACUGGUCUGUUAGAAGGACAGUACCCCGACGAUGGUCAGCCUGGCCCUUCGGGAACCCUACCUGUCAGACAGCUACCCCAGACCAAGAGGUCUAAACUAAGACCAAAGAUUCUGGACAGUGAGAAAAAGGCCCAGACUUUCCAG